rnacentral:rRNA from 1 species
GACGAACGCUGGCGGCGCGCCUAACACAUGCAAGUCGAACGGAGUCAAGAGGAGCUUGCUUUUCUUGACUUAGUGGCGAACGGGUGAGUAACGCGUGAGUAACCUGCCCUGGAGUGGGGGACAACAGUUGGAAACGACUGCUAAUACCGCAUAAGCUCACGGAUCUGCAUGGAUCUGCGGGAAAAGGAUUUAUUCGCUCUAGGAUGGACUCGCGUCCAAUUAGCUAGUUGGUGAGGUAACGGCCCACCAAGGCGACGAUUGGUAGCCGGACUGAGAGGUUGAGCGGCCACAUUGGGACUGAGACACGGCCCAGACUCCUACGGGAGGCAGCAGAGGGGGAUAUUGCACAAUGGGGGAAGCCCUGAUGCAGCGACGCCGCGUGGAGGAAGAAGGUUUUCGGAUUGUAAACUCCUGUCGUUAGGGACGAUAAUGACGGUACCUAACAAGAAAGCACCAGCUAACUACGUG